AGUGAACGCUGGCGGUAGGCCUAACACAUGCAAGUCGAACGGCAGCACAGUGAGAGCUUGCUCUUACGGGUGGCGAGUGGCGGACGGGUGAGGAAUACAUCGGAAUCUACUUUUUCGUGGGGGAUAACGUAGGGAAACUUACGCUAAUACCGCAUACGACCUACGGGUGAAAGCAGGGGAUCUUCGGACCUUGCGCGAUUGAAUGGGCCGAUGUCGGAUUAGCUAGUUGGCGGGGUAAAGGCCCACCAAGGCGACGAUCCGUAGCUGGUCUGAGAGGAUGAUCAGCCACACUGGAACUGAGACACGGUCCAGACUCCUACGGGAGGCAGCAGUGGGGAAUAUUGGACAAUGGGCGCAAGCCUGAUCCAGCCAUACCGCGUGGGUGAAGAAGGCCUUCGGGUUGUAAAGCCCUUUUGUUGGGAAAGAAAAGCAGCAGGUUAAUACCCCGCUGUUCUGACGGUACCCAAAGAAUAAGCACCGGCUAACUUCGUG
rnacentral:rRNA from 1 species